rnacentral:rRNA from 1 species
CGCGUAGGUGACCUGCCCCGAAGUGGGAAUAACUGCCCGAAAGGGUGGCUAAUACCGCAUGUGGUGGUGUGUUCAUUCACACCAGUAAAGCCGCAAGGCGCUUCGGGAGGGGCCUGCGUCCGAUUAGCUCGUUGGUGGGGUAACGGCUCACCAAGGCGACGAUCGGUAGGUGGUCUGAGAGGACGAUCACCCAGACUGGGACUGAGACACGGCCCAG